UGUAGCCUGAACAGCCUGCUGCUAUCCAUUCCUCUCUGUGGUUUGGACAGCUGGGCUACACUUAGUUACGACAUGUGGGAGUUUCCUGGUUCUCUUGGGUUUGUGAAAAGGAAAGAGACAGUUUGGUGGAAGGCGUGUUGAAAAGAUGGACAAAAUGGUGUCAGCAGAUCUGCAGAAAAUGUUUGGAUGAAGAGCCUUGAAGAAGAGCAAAGCAUGAUUAUAGGUGGAUUAUUUUGGACUAUAAACCAGAACUCAGCUCCUCA